GGUUUCCUGGUGUAAUGGUUAUCACUGCGGAUCCUGAUUCCGCCGAUCUGGGUUCGAUUCCCGGGGAGACUU